AUUGAACGCUGGCGGCAGGCUUAACACAUGCAAGUCGAGCGGGGUGAUGGUGCUUGCACUAUCACUUAGCGGCGGACGGGUGAGUAAUGCUUAGGAAUCUGCCUAUUAGUGGGGGACAACAUCUCGAAAGGGAUGCUAAUACCGCAUACGUCCUGCGGGAGAAAGCAGGGGAUCACUUGUGACCUUGCGCUAAUAGAUGAGCCUAAGUCGGAUUAGCUAGUUGGGGGGGUAAAGGCCUACCAAGGCGACGAUCUGUAGCGGGUCUGAGAGGAGGAUCCGCCAACCGGGGACGGGGACACGGCCCAGCCCCCAACGGGAGGAAGCAGGGGGGAAUAUUGGAAAAUGGGGGAAACCCUGAUCCAGCAAUGCCGCGUGUGUGAAGAAGGCUUUAUGGUUGUAAAGCACUUUAAGCGAGGAGGAGGCUUUUUUGGUUAAUACCAAAGAUGAGUGGACGUUACUCGCAGAAUAAGCACCGGCUAACUCUGUGCCAGCCGCCGCCGUAA
rnacentral:rRNA from 1 species